GUCCAGAUGGAGAGUCCCAAAUAGGACGAAAUGCGCAUCCUGGAU
rnacentral:hammerhead_ribozyme from 1 species